UACAGAGGUCUCAAGCGUUGUUCGGAAUCACUGGGCGUAAAGGGUGCGUAGGCCGCACGGUAAGUCAGAGGUGAAAUCCCGGAGCUCAACUUCGGAACUGCCUCCGAUACUGCCGUGCUUGAGGACUGGAGAGGAGAUUGGAACUCACAGUGGAGCAGUGAAAUGCGUAGAUAUUGUGAGGAACACUAGUGGCGAAGGCGAAUCUCUGGACAGUUCCUGACGCUGAGGCACGAAGGCCAGGGGAGCAAACGGG
rnacentral:rRNA from 1 species